rnacentral:lncRNA from 1 species
UAUGAAAUAUAAAUCUCUAUACACCACAUACAAUCCCAAAACCAGUAGUACAAGUUAUAAGCUCUAUUAAGUUUUCUAGAAAAUUCCAAAAUGCAACUGUUCGGGAUAGAAAUAAACUGUACAAGAGGAAAUUUCAGAAGGUGACUCUGAGGCCUGCGAACGCAACGAUAGGUUUACCUUGAGUCUCCACAGCAAACCCAAACAACUAGCUAGUGAACAACCAACUUCGAAGUACCUGGAUCUAUACAAAAAUAUGCAGAAGUGUAGAAUGAAUACACCACAGUGAUACCCAAUAAGUAUCAAGACUAACCUCGGUAGAGUAGUGACGAGAGAUAGUACUCCUACUAGACUAAACAACCUGAACAAGUAUGAAGGCGAACUAACAGAGAAACAAUAUUAAUAUAAAGCUAAUUAAGCAUGGUAAGGAGUACAAAACAAUGCUUGCAAUGAUAUACUAGUAACAACAAUUUUUAAUAUGAAGCAAACAGGUAAUAAUGUUGUAGAGUAAGCUAAAUACAAUCUAAGUCCGAUGAAAUCAAAUAAAAGAAAAAUCAAUAACAACUGAAUAAGAAUAAUCACUUUCACACCAGAUUUAUUCAAGAAUUUCCAUGAGGUACCAAAUCUCAUAAUCACAGAUCCCCGGUCCCAAUUCAUGAAUCCUAAUCACUUAGCAUCUUGUGCCCAUAUUACAAUUCAUGAACAAACAGGCGAUUCAUGUACCAAGAGAGUGACAAUAUCUAAUAUCCGCACGGACCACUCAUGUGCCAACAAUAACAAUGACUCAUGACCAUACAGACACUCAAGUGCCAGUAGAACAACUCUCACACAGAAGGUAAGUAGACGAGAGUACAUGUAAAUGGUCUAUAACAUCAGGAUUCAUCUUAUUAAACCUAUAUGGGUGAUUAAAUCAUGUGUAUGCUUGUGCAAGUGUCCUAACAUAACUCAAGUCAACAAGUAAGAGUAGUAACAAUAAAUGGCACAUAAGAAACGAUCACCACAAAAUGUACUAUAUAAUAAAGACAGUAAACAACAAGAUCAACUACACAGAACUAAACAAAUAUUGCAACACGAAGAAGGACAAUUAAUAGUAUGCAAAGGAAACAAUGAUCAAAGACAUGUACAAAAGAAUGAGAAAAUGUCAAUAAGAGUCACUACUGAGGUACCACCUCGUUGUCUCAAAUAACGAAAUGUAUCACAAUCUUUUCUUAUAUCACUGCGGGAGCCUUUACAUUUAGUUUUGAAAAUUAUUUUUCCCAAAAUAGCAUUCCACGUUUUAUCCCACCUUAUCAAAUCGUAUGGCUUCUAGCAGUUCCCCUACUAGUCAAGCGUAUCAAGCCCACCUUAUCUCACCCCAUGCGUUUCAACACCCAGACUUUAUACCACCGCAUGCGUAUCAAUAUCACAACGUAUCACAAUCGGACGUCAAGUGCCCACAAUCACAAUUUGCUAGAGAAACCAAGCAAUAAUAGAAUUUCACAAUAAGGAGCCCACAACUCAACCUCAAUGUACAACAACAACAACUACAACAAUAAUACGAGAAUAUAGCAAGUAAAUAAUCACAAGACCUUCAUAAAUUAAAGAAACGAAAGAACGAGCUCACAAAGAAAGGCACAAUAGGGGAUAAUGGUCUCCACAAGAAUAGCUCAACUAUGGAGAGAUAAUGUGUAUCAAUUAUUCCACAAUAGUACAAUUUGACGACAAUAGAGAUAACAUGAAUAAUUAACUCCAAAUAAGAAUACGUCAAUAAUGAAAUGAAUAACAAACUUCAUUCUCUCAUUACAGAAAGGAUAGCAUGAUAAUAAAAGAGGCAACAACUUCAAUUAAGGCACAUAAGAGUCUAAUCGGUAAUAAGGGUAGAACAUGAAGCAAUUAAUUUUAAAUAAGACACGUAAGGGUGAAUUUAGUAGGGUAAUUUAACAUGACAAAACAACUUUAUAUCUAAUGAACAUAAGAACCUAAGAGCCCUAAAUGGUCAAAUUUCCACAAAUAAGCUCGAGCGCGUACUCGUCACCUCGCGUACGUAGCCUUCACAUGAAACAAUUAGCAUAAAUAACUGAAAUCCUAAUGGGUAGUUCCCUCACACAAAGUUAGGCAAGAUACUUACCUCAAAUAAGCUAGACCGAUACUCUAAAAUGACCUUUUUGAGUGAAACAACCUUCGGAUGACCAAAAUCUAGCAAAAAUAACUUCAAAUCAUAAAUAAAACUCAUAGAAAACAAUUCCUGAUAAUAAAGAUUUGAUCUUUAAUUAAAACUAAAAAGUCAACCCCCAAGACCGCACCUCGAAAUCUCAUAAAAUUCAAAAAAAAAUGAACACUCAUUCCGAUACGAGUCCAACCAUACAAAAAUUAUCAAAUUCUGAUAUCGAAUCGCCCUACAAAUACUCAUUUUACAUUUUGAAUAAUUUUUACAAAGUUUCCCAUUUUCUUCUCUUCAAUUCAAUAAUUUAAUGAUAUAAAUAAGUUUGAAAUCAUGAAAUGUAAACAAUUUCGAAUAUAGAAUUCUUAUAAGCAAUUUCAAAUGUAACCCUUCAAAAAUCGCCCAAAUCUAAGGCAUUUAUCUUAAAAUGUGAUAAAAUAGCCAAACCCUCGAAAUAGAGUUCUUAUAACUCUGCCCAGUCAUUCCUCAUAUGCGACUACGGAAUACACCCCGCGAUCGUGGAAAGAAAAAAUCAGUACUCAUGGAAAUAAGCUAUGCGUUCUCCAAAAGCACCUCGCGAACGCGAUGAACACAUUACAUAACCUUCGCGAACGCAUACCAUAUUUCGCGAAUGCAAUGAGUAACAUUCCACCAGUCCUCAGCUCCCUUAUGUGAAUGCGGAACACACUACGCGAACACGAACAACAACCAGCUAAACCUUCACGAAUGCAUGCCCAUUGUCGUGUUCGCGAUGAGAAAAAUACUAUGUUUCCCAGAAUCACUUCGCUAUCGCAUCUUCAUCUUCGCUAUCACGAAGAGCAAUAGUGACACCCGAAACCAACAACUCAAAUCAUGAAGAAAUGGCCCUAGCCCAUCCGGAACACACCUGAGACCCCCGAGAUCCCGUUGAAAUAUACGAACAAGUUCCAUAACAUAACAUGGACCCACCCUAGGUAUCAAAUCACAUAAAACUAUGUCGAAACUAUGAAUCGUACUACGAAUCGAACUUAUAAAUUUUCCAAUCUUCUAACUUCCAAAACUAGCACUGAAACAUAUCAAAUCAACUCAAAAUAACGUCAAAUUUUGCAUUCAAAUUCCAAAUGGCAUAAAAGCAACUAAUCAAACUCUUGAAAUUGCAUUCCGAUCCCGAUAUCACCAAAGUCAACUCUUGAUCAAACCUCUUAACCUUUUAAAACUUCAACUUUCCAAUUUAGCAGAAAUGCUUCAAAUUAUCCUACGAACCUUUGAAUCUAAAUUCGAACGCAUGCCUAAGUCCAAAAUCAGCAUACGAAGCUAUUAAAAUCAUCAAAACACCAUUUUAGAGUCGUCUACAUAAAAUCAAACUGCAGUUAACUCUUAUUGCUUAAGAUUCUAAAACAAGAAUCCUUCUUCCAAAUUGACCUUGAAUCCUCCAAAACUAAACUCGGGCACACAUGCAAGUGAUAACACAUAAUUCAAAGCUGCUCGAUACCUUACGUUGUCGAACAAGACGAUAAUUUUUAAAACAACCGGCCAAGUCAUUACAAUUGUUGAUUUGAGGAUUGUUGGUGCAGUGCUUAGCAAUUGUGAGGUCGGGCUCAGAUUUGCAAGCAUCGUUUUUGCGAACAAUAGUUUGCAUUUGUGAGUAGUGGCCUCGGCUAGGUGGCAUUGUAUUUGUGAGGAAAUGGUUCACAAUCACAAAUUGGCUGGGACCGCUUUUGCGAUCAUCUUGGUUGCAUUUGCGACCUCUGGAACUUUGGACAACAUCGCAUUUGUGAAGCUUUGGGCGCAUUUGCAAUGGGAGCAGACAUCACAAUUGCGAAGUCAAUGUCGAAUUUGUACCUUCCGUUUUGAAUAACAGGCACUGCAAUUGCGAGUCAUUCUUUGCAAUUGUGAGGGCUCGCAAUUACAAACCCGUAAAUGCAAUUACAACACAUGCGCCUGAACAUAAGGUCUGAAAAUCGAGAUUUGAGUCUCAUGCUCUCAUUUUGGAACCCCAAACUCGGUAGGAGGCGAUUUUGAGAGGGGAUUUUUACCUACAAUUAUUGGGUAAUUGAUUUUGAUCUAUUUUCAAUUAUAUUACACGAUUAUACAUUAGAUUUAACAUCAAAUUCAUGAUAAUAUAAUAGAAAUUUUGGAGAUUUUUAUCUAUGUUUUUAAAAAAUAAAAAUUUGGAAUUUUAGAGUUGAAUUGGACUUGGAUUUUGAAAUAAAAUACAUAAAUAAACUCGUGGGGUUAUAGGUAGUCAAGAUCUACACUUGAACUCGGGUUUUGACCGGGCGGGACCGGACUUGACUUAAAAAACGGUCGUGGUUGAGUGUUAAUUUGGUUGCGGAAAGAGGUAAGUAUUGUGUAUAACCUUGACUUGAGGAAAUUAGGACCCGUUGAUCCAUUUUCUAUGUGAAUUAUGUGGAGAAACGUCGCAUAUCCGAGGUGUCGAGUUUAUAUGCACCGUUGUGGAAUUUAGCAUGAGAGAGUGGGCAAUUUAUUUCCAUAUCUUUGUCAUUCAAUGUUAUUUCUUGUUAUAUGCUUUAAUUAUUGCACUUGACAUCUAUGUUUUACUUGUUCACUUGUUACUUCAUUGUUAUUUACUUGAUUUGUUCAUUUCUCAUUCAAUAAUCUGCUUACUUGCUAUUUGUUCCUACUUGCCUUAUUUGUAUAUUCUCAUUAUCACAUGUUUUACCUACUUUUAUUGUCCUUCUAUUAAUAGAUGUACUCUAUUAUGUUAUUUUGCUUUCGUGAGUCAUUUAGCCAUUCUUGUAUAAUGAGUUGUUAAGGCUUAGAAUAUCGAUGUGUUGGAUAUCUUCCAUUCGUAUUGGUGGGUCAUAAAUGUAUUGUGUGCUCCAUCUUUUUUGGUUUUGAUAUUUCUUAAAUAUUGGUAUUGAGUUGUUUAUGUUAAUAAUUUAAUAUUGUUGGGAUCGGAUUGCGCGCUGCAACGAUAUUGAUAUGAAUUGAUAUUGUGGGAUUAGGCUGCACACCACAGCAGCGUUGAAAUGAUAUGAUAUUGUAAUGACCCGACCGAUUGUUUUGAGAGUUCUAGCCAUGUUUCCCCAUUUAUUGUUCCUUUUUGUAACUUGUCGGGUUUGUCAGUUCGGGUCCGAAGAGGUUUCGAAAUGAAUUGAGACACAUAGUCUCAAAGUUGAAAGCUUAAGUAGAGAAAGUUGACAGGAUAUUGACUUACGUGCAAAUGACUCCAAAAUGGAGUUUUGAUGGUUCUGUUAGCCCUUUGGGUGAUUUCGAACUUAGGAACAUAUCCGGAUUGUGAUUUGAAGGUCCGUAGUGAAAUUAGGCUUCAAAUGGUGAAAGUUGGAAAUUUGAAAAGCUUGACUGGGAGUAGACUUCUUGAUAUCAAGGGCAUAUUGGAAUUUUGGGAUUUGGAGUAAGUCCAAGGUGUCAUUUGUGACUUGUGUACAAAUUUUAGGGUCAAUCGGAUGUGAUUCAAUAGGUUUCGGCGUCGUUAAUAGAAAUUGGAAGUUUAAAGUUCAUUAGGCUUGAAUCAAUGUGUGAUUCAUGUUUUUGAUGUUGUUUGAGGUGAUUUUAGGGCUCGAAUAAAUUCGUAUGAUAUUUUGGGAGACGAUGGUAUGUUUGGUUGAGGUCCUUGGGGCAUCGGGUGAGUUUCAGAUAGUUAACGGAUCAAUAUUGGACUUGGCAUUUCAGUUGAAGACUACUGGUAUUUUGUUACUGGUUUCCUUUUAUGCGAUCGCAUGGGCAGGUCCGCGACCAUGUGUCACGCCUCUUUUUUACCACCCCGAAAGUAGUAUAAGGGAGUUUUUCCAAUUAAAGUGACGUGGAAACGAGAUUAUUUUAUUUAAAAUUCAGAGUUGCCACUUGGGAUAAUUUAUGGUAUCCCAAAUCACCGGUUUAAAAUCCCAAAUCGAGGAAGUUUGACUCUGUUUACGGUUCGCGAACACAGAAAUCCAGGUAAGGAAUUCUGUUAACCCGGGAGAAGGUGUUAGGCAUUCCCGGGUUCUGUAAUUUUAGCACGGUUGCUUUGAUCAUACUUGGCUGGUUAAAUUGUCUAAUUACUUAUUUUAGAAUGGAUUAAAAUGUAUGGCUCAAGUUUUAUACCACAGGGUCCUUGCAUAUGUCUAUGUCCCAUUUAAACUCCAAAUAAUCAGGUUCUUACCAUCGCAUGGCCCAAAUAUCUUAGCUAAUAGUCUGUUUUAUAAUCUAGCCCAUUAUCAAUUAAACCCAGGUCCAAACUAACUCUUCAAAUCAGUCCAUCCUAAAAGACCGAAUCUUUGAGAUAAUCACAGCUCCAUUCUUAAACAUCUUUAUUUUUUACAACUAAUACUUCAUGAAACUUUAGAGAUUUUCUCCAAAUUAUAUUAAACUAAUAAUGAAUAAUGAAAAAUUCAAGCCUUAACUAAUCAUGGAACUAACUUUCCUAUAAAACUAAACCAUUAAAUAUAACUAAAUUAUUUUAAGAAAACUAACCAGGAGCAGAAAAACUAUUGUUGCUUAUGGAUUAAAAGGGAGCAAACAUGUUCUUGCUAAACUUUGAACAAACAAAAGAUAACAAACUAAUGGACAAAAAUAAAGAAAACCUGCUCGAACAGAAAAGAAGCAGCAGCGCUGGAACCAUGCCGGCAACUCGAACGAAACCGACCUCACUCAAACUCCAUCUUGGAAAAGCGAAAAUCCGAAACAAGGAAGAUGAAACAGAACUUUUUAUGUGCUCUAUUUUGUAGUUGUCUUGCGAAUUAGUUUUAGAUGUUAGAAUAGUGACAAACUGAUUUUUGACGGAGCUUAGGACGAAAAGAAGAUGGGAGAUUUUGCUCUCUCUGUUUUCAACAUCUCUUUCUCAUGUGCCUUCUAUUUCGUCUUCUCACUCUAUGUGUGUGCGUGUGUGUGUAUGGCUGCUGGUUCGAUAUGGUAGAGGCAUAGAUGGGGUUGUUUGGUGUGAGGUGAGAGGUUUUCCUAAAGGUCCAUGGCUGUUGUAGCUGUGAUAGAUGAAGAAAAAGAAGCAGUGGCGAUGGGUGGUUGUUGCGGUGGUGUUGCGUAUAGAACUGGUGAACGUUGGUUGUUGCUGAAGGUUUAGGGAUGAAGAAACCGAGGUUCAAGCCAUUGGAAUGUGAAGGAGAGGAGGAGGGUCGUAUGGGGUGGGGUUCGAAAUUGUUCUCUGCUGCUUCUUUAGAUGCUUAUUUUGUAUAUGUUCGUCCAAAUCUAGAAGAAGAACGGCGGAUAGCUAUACGGGUAUAGGUCUUAGAGUCUAGGUAUUUUUUAGGCUAAUUUUGGUUAUAUAGAGAGGGUUUUUAGGUUAAGGGGUAUGAGUUUGGUAUUAUUAGGNNNNNNNNNNNNNNNNNNNNNNNNNUGAAUUUAUGAAAUAUACGUAAACUAAAGUAUUUUUGUCAUUUUUAUUUUUUGUGACGAAAUAAAGUAAAAGAGUCAAAAAUUAGUUGAAAUAGUGAUAUUAGGCCUAAACUAAAUAUUUACAUGCUAAAAUAUAAAAAAUCUUGGGGAGGGUCAAAAAUCACUUGUCUACAGCUGCCCCUUUUUGACUGGGAACAUGAAGAAUUUUCAGAUAAAGAACGACUAGAAAGGUUUUUUAACCCGACCCCUAUUUAGAGAGACUAAAACUAAGAGAAAAGGGGAAUAUGACCGAGCUCUGGUAUCUGAGCUGCCUAUAUAUCCUUGGCUAUAAAGGAAUCAGGCCACGUGUAGUUUAGAAGUGAGUGAGAUGAUGGAGUAUACCGAGGUGGAGAGCCGGUCGAGGUGUCGUUCCAUAGUCCUAUUAUUACUCAAAAAUCAAAUAAUGAAAAAUACUAGCUAAGCCUGUCAACUAUGAGUUACAAGAUUCCUAUCUAUAAGUCUUCUGAAGCUUGAUCUUGAGUCUUGAAUGACUCUUCAUGCAGACUCUAGAUUUGAACCUUGGUAUUUUUUAGCUGCAGGUGCUAGUUCAUUCUUCUUCAGCUUUUCGGAUCAAGAUCGGACAUGCAGUGCUUGUGACCUCAGCCAUGUCUUGAGCAUCUCACAUCUUUCAUCAAACUUCUGAAUUUGGAUACACUUCUUUUUUUUCUUUUUCCCCUCUUUUUUAUAUUCUAGAUUGAGGCUACUUUUGUUGGUCAUCUCAGACUGUUGACCCGCAUUCUUGUCGCGAGCUUCUUUUGUUGCUGACUUGAAUUACAUUCUGAAGUGAAUUCCCUUGUUUUCCAGGUGGGUGCCUGAUUUCUAAAACUUGAACUGUCUUCCUUCGAAACUUGAACUGCAUUCCCUUGUUCUCCAGGUCGAUUGAUGAAACUCGAAUUGUUUUCCUUGAAACUUGAGUUGUUUUCCCUUGUUCUCCAGGUGGGCACCUGACUGCUGAAACUCGAAUUGCUUUUCCCUGAAACUUGAGCUUCUUUCCCUUGUUCUCCAGGUGGGUGCCUGAUUGUUGAACUUGAACUGUCCUCCUUUGAAACUUGAGCUGUUUUCCCUUGUUCUCCAGGUGUGUGCCUGAUUGCUGAACUUGAACCGCUUUUCCCUGAAACAUAAGCUGCUUUCCCUUGUUCUCCAGGUGGAUGCCUGAUUGCUGAACUUGAACUGUCUUCCUUUGAAACUUGAGCUGUUUUCCCUUAUUCUUCAGGUGGGCGCUUGAUUUCUGAACUUGAACCGCUUUCCUUUGAAACUACUUUCCCUUGAAACUUGAACGGUCUCCCCUUGUUCUCCAGGUGGGCGCCUGACUGCUGAACUUGAACUGCUUUCCUUUGAAACUGUUUUCCCUUGAAACUUGAACUGCUUUCCGUUGAAACUGCUUUCCCUUGAAACUUGAACUUCCUUACCUUGUUCUCCAAGUGGGCGCCUGAUUGCUGAAACUCGAUAUACUUUUCCCUGAAACUUGAACUGCCUUCCUUUGUUCUCCAAGUGGGCGCCUGAUUGUUAAGUUUGAACGUUCUUCCUUCGAAACUUGAGUUGCUUUCCCUUGUUCUCCAGGUGGGCGCCUGAUUGCUGAACUCGACCUGCUUUCCCUUGAUACUUGAAACUUUUUUCCCUUAUUCUCCAGGUGGGCACCUGAUUAUUGAACUUCAACUGUCUUCCUUGGAAACUUGAGCUGUUUUCCUUUGUUCUCCAGGUGGGCACCUGAUUGCUGAACUUGAACUGUCUUCCUUCGAAACUUAAGUUAUUUUCCCUUGUUCUCCAGGUGGGCGUCUGACUGCUGAAACUCGAAAUGCUUUUCCCUGAAACUUGAGCUGUUUUCCUUUGUUCUCCAGGUGGGUGCCUUAUUGCUGAACUUGAAUUGUCUUCCUUUGAAACUUGAGUUGUUUUCCCCUGUUCUCCAGGUGGGCGCCUGAUUGCAAAAUUUUGAACUGCUUUCCUUUGAAACUGCUUUCCCUUGAAACUUGAACUGUCUCCCCUUGUUCUACAGGUGGGCGCCUGAUUGCUGAACUUGACCUGUCUUUCCCUGAAACUUGACUUGCUUUCCCUUGUUCUCUAGGUGGGCGCCUGAUUGCUGAACUUGACCUGUCUUUCCCUGAAACUUGAAUUGUUUUUCCUUGUUCUCCAGGUGGGCGCCUGAUUGAUGAACUUGACCUGGUUUUCGUUGAAACUCGAAUCAUUUUCCCUUAUUUUACAAGUAGGCGCCUGACUGCUGGACUUGACCCAUCUCCUCUUGUUACUUGAAACUAUUUUCCCUUGAAGCUUGAACCAUUUUCCCUUUUUCUCCAGGUGGGCUCCUGAUUUCAACUUGAAUUGCUCUCCCUUUGUUCUCCAGGUAGGCACCUGAUUACCAACGCUUGAAUUACUUUCCCUUUGUUCUCCAGGUGAGCUCCUGAUUUCCAUCACUUGCACUGUUUUUCCUCGAAACUUGAAUUGCUUCCCUUUGUUCUACAGGUGGGUUCCUGAUUACCAACAGUCGAAUUGUUUUCCCUUUGUUCUCCAGGUGGGUGCCUGAUUUCCAACUCGGACAGACAAAACAAAGAAAAGUUUCUGCCCCAAUUUGGUAGCGGGGCACAUCGGUGAGUGUUAAUUGCACCAUGUUACCAAAUAUCCCUUAGAAUCUGAAAGCUAGAUCCUAUUAUCUAGGAGGGUCCUGAAAACUCCUAGUAAAAUGACAGUUUUAAAGCUAAAUUAUAUUUUCUAAAGGUAUGACUUUCUCUAAAUCUUGUUAUCUAUGAAGGUCUUAAAACUAAAUUCCAUUAUCCAGGAGGGUCCUGAAAAUAUCCAAUUGAGUCUCGUCCUAAGAAUGAAAACUUCAAAACCAACUUAUAUUUCUAAAAGUAGAGCUUAUGCUAGAUCUUGUUAAUCAUGAAUGUUUGAAUUUUAACUAAGUCCCUUUGUCCAGGAGGGUCCUGAAAAUUUAUGAUCAAACCUGUCCAGUACUUGAUUUCCUUAUGGAGGGUUUCUCCGAAACAAACAAAAUUUUCUGCCCCUAUUUCAAAUCAAAGAAACGUCUUGUCAGUUUAAAACAAGGUGGUUAGUUUGUGGCAUUCUUGUUGAAGGUGGCCUCUCCACUGCCGCGCUUUGCUUUGAUUGGUUGCCUUGAACUGGCCUAGAACCGUUUGACUUUCUGACUGACUCUCAAUCGCAGGACCUUGGAUGACCCGAGUGCUUUACACCCAAACCGUUGUUUUACAUUUCUGACCCUUCUACAUGAACCUCUGUAUAUUCCCCGAAAUGUACAAACCACUCGACUUCUUGAACUUUCAUUAACCCCAUACCUUUAUUUUUUACAUCAUGUUAUUUCUGGCACGUUUUGGCCGCACUUUACUUUGUGCAAUUUGGAAGUUGGUAGUAAGAUUUGAAAACCUUCCUUACUUGCUUAAACAAGGCUGACAUUGAAAGAAACCUUAGAGAAAUAAACCCUAAAGAAAUGAAAUGCAAUGACUUUGAGAGUUGGGAAUAAAAGAAAAUCCAAAUCUGGAUGACUGUUUGAGGGAGAGAAGGAAAAGAGACUUAUCUGAGUGGAGCAGCUGGUACCAAUGAUCAUGACAUGUAUUUCGGAUUAAUCAGCCCAAUCUAUUCAAUCAAUCAUCUUUCAGAUGUCAUACCAUGUGCCCUAGGACCUUCAUAACCCAAUUUCUUUGGCCAAUCACUAACCUUAUCCGUCAUGCGGUGCCCUGAAGGGUUUUCACCAACAAACCUCUUUCAUUUUUUCAUCUCUCAAACUCACUGUCACCUUAUGGUGCCUGCGAAGGUUUUCACCUAUAAGACUCUUUUAUUUUUAAUUUCUCUCAGCUUUCUGUCGCCUUACGGUGCCCGUGAGGGUUUUCACCAAUAAGACUCUCUCAUUUUCAUUUGCUUGCUCGGAACGGAAUGUUGUCCCUGAUAUGAAUCACCUCUACCUGCUCGACUUGGCAUCUCUCGAACACUGAUCGGAAGGUCUUUCUUUGGACCGUAAUAUGGGCUUUUGGAUAGGGUUAGAAAGAAAGGAUAUCAAAAGGGUCAAAACAAUUUGAAAGGGUCCAAAAUUACAACUUUUGGAAUCAGAUUUCUUAUAAUAACUACAACUUCUGCCACAGUUUCUUUGCUUGGGGACGUUUGAAUUUUUAUUUUGAUGGGACCGAACCGUGAUGCUUCCUACCUAUCCUUAAAAGGAAUCAGGUCAAACGUAGUUCUUUUCAUAGGAAUUGCUUUGUUAUUGUUACUUCUCUUUUCCUUUCUUUCUCUUCUUUUUUUCUUUUCUUUAUUUUCUUUUCUUUCUUUCUUUCUUUCUUUCUUCUUUCUUUUUUUUCUUUUCUUUUCUCUUUAUUUCUUUCUUUUCAUUCUUUUUCCAUUUUUUCAUUUUCUUUUCUCUCUUCUUUCCUUUUUAACUUCUUUACUUACUUUUUGCGUUCGUAUGUUCUGAAUUUUGCUACUAAUUCCAAAAGAGGGGUAUGAAAGGAAAUAAAUAAGGCUCAAAAGGGGUAACAAAGGAUAAAGUGUUUAGAUAGCAGAACAAAAUGCCUUCAUUAUUCCUAUCUUCAAAACAUGCCAUGUACAAACAAACACAACUUGAACCAAAAAAUCAUACAUAAUAUCUUUUGACUGCAUCAGAAUUGAAAACUAUGUCGACACAUUUGCCUUCUAUAUCUGUUAAAUACAAAGCACCAUUGGACAACACUCUCGUUACGAUGAACGGCCCCUGUCAAUUUGGGGCGAACUUGUCUUUCGCUUCAGCCUGACGUGGAAGGAUGCAUUUCAACACUUACUGACCCACUUCAAAUUUCCGCGGACGCACCUUCUUGUUGUAUGCUCUCACCAUUCUCUUUUGAUACAACUGGCCAUGACACAAUACUGCCAAUCGUUUUUCAUCAAUCAAACUCAAUUGCUCCAAACGGGUUUUGACCCACUCAUCAUCAUCAAUCUCUGCUUUAGCAACAAUCCGAAGGGAUGAGAUUUCAACUUUCGCGGGUAUCACUGCUUCAGUGCCAUAUACCAACAAAUAAGGAGUUGCACCUACUGAAGUGUGAACAGUAGUGCAAUAACCCAACAAUGCAAAGGGAAACUUUUCAUGUCAUUGCUUGGAACCUUGCACCAUUUUCCGAAGUAUCAUCUUUAUGUUUUUGUUGGAUUCGUCGACUGCUCCAUUCACCUUGGGGCGGUAUGGGGUAGAAUUUUGAUGUGUCAUCUUAAACUGUUGACACACUUCUUUCAUCAGAUGACUGUUAAGAUUAGCACCAUUAUCUGUGAUGAUCACCUUUGGAAUCCCGAACCAACAAAUCAUAUUUGCAUGCACAAAGUCGACCACUGCCUUCUUGGUCACAAACUUGAAAGUUUUAGCUUCAACGCACUUAGUAAAAUAGUCAAUGGCCACCAGAAUGAACUUGUGUCCAUUGGAUGCUGCUGGCUCAAUUGGUCCGAUGACAUCCAUACCCCAAGCAACAAAGGGCAAUGGUGCGGACAUUGUGUGCAAUUCAGAUGGCGGAGAAUGAAUCAAAUCUCCGUGUACUUGACAUUGAUGACACUUGCGCACAAAACUGAUACAAUCUCGCUCCUUGGUGAGCCAAUAAUAACCUGCUCGAAGAAUCUUCUUUGCCAGAACAUAUCCGCUCAUAUAUGGCCCGUAGACUCCUGAAUGCACUUCGAUCAUGAUAGUCGUGGCCUGUCUGGUGCAUCUCAACAAUCCGAGUUCUGGAGUUCUUUUAUAAAAAAACUCCCCCAUUGAAGAAGAAUCCACUUGCCUAAUGUCGAAUUGUUCUCUUUUGAUCCCCUAUGGCUUGAACUGGAUAUACCCUCAUCCUGAUAUACUCCCUGAUGUCAUGGAACCAUGGUUCACCAUCAAGUUCCUCCUCAACCAUAUUACAGUAAGCAUGCUGAUCACGAGCUUGAAUAUGCAGAUGAUCAAUAUAAGUUUUGUCUGUAUGGUGCAACAUUGAUGCUAAGGUAGCCAAUGCAUCGGCGACCUCAUUAUGGAUCCUUGGAAUGUGCCUGAAUUCUAUAGAUCAAAAUUGCUGACAAAGAUCAUGCAGACAUUGUCGAUACGGUAUAAGCUUUAAAUCUCGUGUCUCCUAUUCUCCUUGAAUAUGGUGCACCAGAAGGUCUGAGUCCCCCAAGACCAAGACUUCUUGGAUUCUAAUAUCUACGGCUAGCGUUAAAACCAAAAUGCAUGUCUCGUACUCAGCCAUGUUGUUGGUACAAUAGAAACGAAGCUGAGUCGUAACAGGAAGUGAUGCCCUGUUUCAGAAAUGAGCACUGCCCCUAUCCCGACACUUUUCAUGUUGGCAGCCCCAUCAAAGAAAAUCGGGCUUUUUAUCCUUCUCGACCUUGUCGAUAUGCAUUACCUCUUCAUUAGGGAAGUAAGUCCUCAAAGGUUCAUAUUCUUCAUCCACCGGGUUCUCGGCCAAGUGAUCAGCCAAAGCUUGGGCUUUCAUCGCUGUCUGAGUCACAUAUACGAUGUCAAAUUCUAUGAGCAUGAUCUGCCACUUUGCGAGCCUUCCUGUAGGCAUGGUCUUCUGAAAGAUAUACUUCAAGGGAUCUAGGCGAGAGAUGAGGUAAGUAGUGUAGGACGACAAGUAAUGCUUCAACUUCUGUGCUACCCAAGUCAGGGCACAUCACGUUUUCUCAAGGGGAGUAUACUUAACCUCAUAAGAUAUGAAUUUCUUGCUGAGAUAGUAGAUUGCUUGCUCUUUCCUGCCGGUGAUGUCAUGCUGACCCAACACACAAUCAAAUAAAUUAUCCAAGACCGUCAAAUACAGAAUCAAAGGUCUCUCGGGUUCUGGCGGGACCAAAACAGGGGGUUCGACAAAUACUUCUUGAUCUUAUCAAAUGCUUCCUGGAAAUCAUCAGUCCAUUUGACCGCAGCAUAUUUCUUUAGCAACUUGAAGAUGGGCUCACAGGUUGUCAUGAGCUAAGCAAUAAACCUGCUGAUGUAGUUUAGCCUCCCUAAUAGACUCAUCACCUCGGUCUUGUUCCUUGGUGGUGGUAAUUCCUGGAUAGCCUUGAUCUUUGACGGAUCCAAUUUAAUACCCCACCGACUAACUAUGAAUCCCAACAGCUUCCUUGAUGGAACACCAAAUGCGUACUUUGCAGGAUUGUGCUUUAGAUUGUACCUGCGGAGCCUUUGGAAAAACUUUCUCAAAUCUUUGACGUGGUCAGGCUGCUUCCUGGACUUUAUGAUCACAUUAUCCACGUAAACCUCAAUCCCCUUGUGUAUCAUGUCAUGGAAUAUGCUAAUCAUCGCCCACAUUUAAGUUGCCCCAGCAUUUUUCAAACCAAAAGGCAUGACCCGGUAGUAGUAUGUUCCCCAUGGCAUGAUGAAUGCCAUUUUCUCUGCACCGUCCUCAUCCAUUAAAAUCUGAUGAUAUCCUGCAUAGCAGUCCAAAAAAGACUCAAUCUCAUGCUUGACACAGUUAUCAAUCAAAAUGUGGAUGUUUUGUAGUGGGAAAUUGUCCUUUAACCAUGCCUUAUUGAGGUCACAGUAAUUAGCACACACUCUGGUCUUACCAUCUUUCUUUGGCACAAGCACAACAUUGGCUAACCAUGUGGGAUACCGUGUGACUCGAAUGACCUUUGCAUCAAGCUGCUUUGUGACAUCUUCUUUAGUCUUCAAACUCAUGUCAGUUUUGAACUUUCUCAGCUUCUGCUUGAUGGGGAUGGGGGAAAUGUUGGAUCAAUUGGCAAUUUAUGGACCACCAAAUCGGUACUCAAGUCGAGCAUAUCAUCAUACGACCAUGCAAAAAUAUCCUUAUGCUCAAACAAUGCUUUAAUUAUCUCUUCCCUGAUUUGCUGUUCAAGAUGGACGCUUAUCUUAGUUUCUCUGACAUUAUCCGGGUCCCCUAAAUUGAUUGCUUCUGUAUCAUUCAGGUUAGGCUUGGGUUUUUCUUCAAAAUGACUUAGUUUCUUAUUAAUUUUUUCAAAGGCCUCAUCCUCAUCAUAUUCUGAUUCAUCAUCAUACUCUAUUUCUUAGAUUAUUAUUUCAAAAUUAGAUUGACUUUUAAGACUGGGCCGAAGAUUCCUCAUGCAUGUCAUGUCAUUGAAACCAGCAUAAAAAGAACUGUACAAAGAAGAAAAGAAAAACAAAAAAUUAAACUAUCAGGUAUGAUGGAAAAAGGAAAUUGCUUUUCAUUAAAAUAAAGGAUAACAGGGUUUGUGCAUCAACAAGCAAAAAAUAAAAGUCUGGGUCACAACCCUGGAAUGACCCAGAUAUAAAGGAAAACAAAACAAACUACCAAGACUCCUUCCGGGUAAGGAGAGAAGUAGCCUUCCAAUUGUUAAGAUUUGCAUUUGGUCCUACGAACUGCACGUCCUCUCUGCUAGAACCUUCUCCAACUUCAACCAUGUUCACAUCAUCAAACAACCUCUGGAACCUUUCAAUUAACUCCUCAUCAAUAUCAACCACAGAACUUGAAAUUGUCGUCACUGGGCAUUUCCUGGCAUCGAGCUUGACAAAAGACCUGGAGAGACGCGGAACAGGCUUUGGAAGUGCCCACGCCUUCUAGUUCAACCUUUUAGCCCUUUUCACAUCUGCCGCUAUAGAUUUGAACUCAAGACCGAACAUACCAAAUUUUCAGGGAGGGACACUGGCUAUAUGAUACACUGCAGAGAUGCACCCAGACCUUUACCGGGCACAAAGCCAUUUUUAGCAUUUCAAAGGCCACCAUAACUGAUGCGGAGGUUAUCUUUGGAGUUGGAACACAUUUCCCCUCUGAAACCUUCUCGACUGGCACUGUUUCAAAAAGUUGAUAGACCCAAGUCCCUUUGUCAUCUUCAACCUCAAUGAACGAUACGAAGGCAUCACUUUAAGCACACAAAUUAUCCUUGCUGUGCACGAUAAUCUCUUGUCUAUCCCAUUCAAACUUGACCAUCUGGUGCAAAGUGGACGGGACUGCUUUGGCAUGAUGAAUCCAAGGUCGACCCAAUAGAAAAUUGUACGAGAUGGCUACGUCCAACACCUGGAACUCCAUGGUGAAUUCCACUGGUCCUAUUGUUAAUUCAAGCACUAUAUCACCAACUGAAUCUUUCCCUCCACCAUCAAAUCCCCGAACACAUAUGCUAUUUUUGUGAAUCCUCUCAUCAUCCCCUUUCAACUUGUUUAGAGUAGAGAGAGGGCAGAUGGUUGCACUAGAACCGUUAACAACUAACACCCUGAUGACCACAAAAUCUUCUCAUUUUACCCUAAGAUAGAGAGCUUUGUUUUGUUCGGUACCCUCCACAGGCAACUCAUCAUCAGAAAAGGUGACUCUAUUCACCUCAAAUAUUUUUUUGGCGAUCUUCUCUAGAUGGUUCACUGAAAUUUUGUCGGGAACAUGAUCCUCGUUCAGAAUUUUCAUCAGGGCCCGACGAUGCUCGUCUAAGUGGAUCAACAACGACAAUAAAGAUAUCUGAGCAGGCGUCUUUCUCAACUGCUCCAUGAUGGAAUAAUCUUGUACCUUCAUUUUUCUCAGAAACUCCUCCGUCUCUUCUUCAAACACUGCUUUCUUUACUAGGACUGGAUUAUCUCUCGAUGUUUUAACUUUCCUCAACUCUUCUUGGGCAAAGCAUCUCCCCGAACGAGUUAAUCCCUAGUUCUCAUUGACUUCUUCUUUCACUUCCUUUCUCUUAUAGGUCACUAUUACCCGUUCAUAGUUCCAUUGGAUGGCCUUGGUGCUGAUUACUAGCAAUUGGGUUAUAGGCUAAAUGAUGACAGGAUCCAUACGGGCACCCUCUACAAUUAUGAUAGGCUUGUUUACCACUCCUAGCACAACCACUUUUCACUUUUCUUACUUUGUCGUGACAUCACUUGGGGAUCCUUUCUUGACUACUACAGAUGGUUCACCAUUGUCCUGCUCAACUUGUUCACUGAUCCUUCAAUUGUUGGUUUUUUAACUGGCUUGACCUCACUGGCCCGAAUCAUCAUGACAGUAUGUGAAGGCUUCUUGGGUUCCCCUCCCUUAUGUACUAUCUCAAUCAUGUUCGUUUCCUGAUAGGUUGGUAAUGGGUUAUGGUUGAUGUUGGGUGCCUCUAGAGUUUGGACUUCAAUUCGGUUUGUGUCAAUGAGCUCCUAGAUGGCAUUUUUCAAGUGCCAGCACUUCUCCGUAUCAUGUCUCGGAGUACCAAAACAAUAUUCACAGCUCACAAAGUAAUCAAGAAUCUUUAGAGGAGGGUUUGGAAAUUUCGACUCAAUUGGCCUCAACAUAUCCAACUGCCUCAAUCUGUGGAACAAACUGGUAUAAGACUCUCCCAGUGGGGUGAAAGUUUUCUUCCACUGCAACCUCUCAUUUUUGAAUGCUGGAUUGGGUUGGAAACCUGGACCGACAGGGUUUUGAUAGGCUCGUAGGGGUGGGUAACCAUUUUGUGGAGCUGGGUAGGUGUUUUGUGGGGCUGGGGCACGCCAUUGUGUGUAGGCAGGAGGUUGAGUAUAUGUUUGGGCAUGGUGGAAAGAAUUAUGAGGGUCUGUUGAUGGGAAGUAGUGUUGGGGUAGAUUAUAUGAGGUUUGAGUGUAGGUUCGGUGAUGGGUCGAGGCUGGGUAUAUUGGUAUGACGAGCCCCUGGGUCCGAACCAUGAUCCUGAAUCAAUUGUUGCCACAUCUUCUUUCUUCUUCUUUCCAAUCACUCCCCUAAUACCAUUCUGAAUGGCUUGGGUAGUUGCCUUGAUAGCUGAGUAACUCAUGAUUUUGCUUGAUUUAAGCCCUUCUUCCACCAUGCCACCCAUCUUUACUACCUCGUUGAACGAUAUGCCUAUGGCCUAUAUUAGAUGGUGAAAGUAAGUAGGCUCCAGAGACUGUAGAAAGUACUCCACCAUUUCGCUCUCAUCCAUCGGGGUGUUAACUCUUGCCGCUUGUUCUCUCCAGCAAAAACCAUAUUCUCUGAAACUUUCACUAGGCUUCUUCUCAAUUUUAGUCAAAGACAAAUGUUCUGGAACAAUCUCGAUAUUGUACUGGAAAUGACAAGUGAAUGCUUUGUCAAAAUCAUCGCAGGUAUACCAUCUGUUGUGAUCCUGACGAGUGUGCCACUCCAAUGCCGAACCACUCAAACUCUAGCUAAAGUAUGCUAUCAAUAACUCAUAUUUCCCACCGGCUUCUCUCAUUUUACUGUAGAAUCCCCUCAAGUGGGCCACCGGGUCUUCGUGCCCGUCAUACAAAUCAAACUUCGGCAUCUUAAAUCCCACAGGAAACUGAACAUCGGGAAAUAGACACAAAUCCUUGUAGGCUACGCUUACCUGGUCUACCAAUCCCUGCAUGUUUCUGAAUGACUGCUCUAGGCUUCUAACCUUCCUGAACAUCUCCUCAUGCUCUAGGUCUUUAGGUGGUUUCUCAGUCUCAACAGGGAGGUCGAAAUAUGGAGUAUAGGAGAAAGGCUCUGAGGCUUUGAAAGUAGGCUCCGGGGGGUAGUAUUGGAUAUCCCGAGUCUGGAAUAAGGUCUCACUGGAGGAUUGAUGGAGUGUAGCGGGUGGGGGUGCCACAAAGNUAGGGGUGGCUAGUGGAGGAGGGUACGGGACUAGGUUUAGGUGGNNNNNNNNNNNNNNNNNNNNNNNNNUGGAGAUGAAUCAACAGUGGGAGGUUCUUGGGAUUAAGCCAACGACGGGACGAAAGUCGGGUUGGCGGGGCAUGAUGGUGGUGGAUGCCCCUUCACCCAUGCCUGGUACAUCUCUACCAUUUGGUGUUUUAACUUGUAUAACUCCUCUUUCAGAUUAACAUCAAACUCUUCCCCCUCUCUUGACGGAUCAAUAACACUUGCAUCCAAUUAUUGGUUGGCCAUGAUCAACUUGUCUUUGGACAUAUGGUGUUGUACGGGUAAGUUUCCAGAAUGCCAAACAAACUAACCACCUGCUUAUACUUGACGCCAUAUGAAUCAAACCAAGUGUAGUUUUGGGAAUAUGUGUGAAAUAAAUAACAAAAUAAAAAAACAUUUUUUGGGGUUUUUAAAAAUAAAAUAAAAUAUCUUGAUUAUGAAAACUUCCCCCGCAGAUUUAAACAUAAAGACUAACAGACUCGAUGAGUGGACUGGCAACUUCAAAAGAAAACUGAAAAUACAGACUUGAAAUGAACUAACAAACUACCAAUACAGACUCGAAAAUAAAAUAAAAUACAUACUCGAAUAAACAAAGUCAAGAAUACAUAAGUGCUUCAACUGUUGCUCCAGUUGGCCUUGCUUCGGGCCUCCGUGCAAUGUCUUCUUGGAGGCGAAACAAGUCAUCCAUAAUCAGCCGGGCAAAAAUCAUAACUGAAGUGAAGAACAUGUACCUAGUCAUGUCUUCACACUCGUUGCAUUUCAUCACAAUGUAGUCCGCAAUUCUCCUAACCCUUUCCCUAAUAAUACACUUCUUUUAUAGCAACCAUCCGAUCUACUGAGAUCUGGCACCCAAAACUUGUUCGGAUGCAUGGUUUUGCUCUUGAAGCUACUGAAAGUCUUUCUCUAGUUGUGCCAUCAGGGCAUAACAGUGCUCCCUUUCUACUUUGAAGUCUCUCGCCUACUUGGCCAUUUCAUUUUCAAGGGCAUUGACCUUUUUCUUUAUAUUCACCAUUCCCUUGUCAUACUUAUCCUUCAGUUGCCGAACGAAACUGGUCUGCCCCUCUACAUUCUUAUCUAGCUUGGCUCGGGCAUUUGCCAGCUCCGCCUCAGUCUUUUGCAAAUCAUCCUCAAAAUCACAUACCUUUUGGGUAAGACUGUAGAUGAGCUUUUCGUCUUUUCUACUCCUGCCCGGGUUCUCAAUUGCUAUUCUCAUUUUUCGAACUUGGGCUCGGAGAGCUUCAUUCUCUUGGGCCAACUUUCUUCUUUUACCUUCGGCUUCUUGUUCUUGGAGAUCAUUGUUGAAUUCCUUGUUUCUCAGCUUCUCUUUCAGGGCGUGAAUCUCGGCUUGAUAUUCCUUCUCCUUUUCCCCCUAUGCCAGCCUUUCUUGGAUUUUGUCGUCAAAAGCUUGAACAUGAGGUCUCUUGGUAGGCCUCUCGGGUUCGGGCUUAGGCUCGUUGUUUACACAAGCCCUUUUCUCAAACCAAGCAGCAUAAUUUCGAUCUACUUCCCUUUUGCAACACCUGGUACCUGAGUGCCAUUUUUCAGAUACCGACAGUCAUUCCAAUCCUGCUGAACUAAAGCCUUGCGCAAUGUAGCUUUUGGAUGCAUCUCUAUGACCUGGGUGGUUAGAUCUUCAUCUUCAGGAACGAUCUGAUAUCUUCUUAAUUGCCUCAAAACCCUCUGCGGUGCAUAUGGUUGGAUACUCCUCACACUCAUUAACCUCGGGUAACCUUUGGUGGCAGUCAUGAAUAUGGCUUCUAUCAUUGGGAGCCAUCCUAUAGUCCACUUAUCCUAACUUGCUUUGAGAGCUUUCAAGUGGGAGACCCAUGCUUCAAACCCUUCUGGCAUGUUGUAGUCCUUUACCCUUUCCUCGUAAUUGGUAAUGAAGUUAUUUGGGCUCGAACCAUAACUCAUGAAUCUGGGAUGAUGGCGAAGAUGCUUUAUCAGCCAUAUUUGUAGAAGGAUAUUGCAACCUUCAAAGAAUUGAGCCUUAGCUCUGCAUAAUGUCAAUGCUCGACAAAUAUCAGCCAGCACUAACGGGACAAUUUUAUGAUCUUCCUUGGUAGUGAGGAUUUGUGCAAUUCUGACCAUAAGAGUAUCCAAUGUCCCUUCCUCAUUUGGAAAAACCAUGAUCCCCAUAAAUUCCACGAUAAAAGUGAAUUGGCGAUGAAUUUGCCAAAGGCCUUUAUUUUGUUUGUUACUCAAACCCUUUUCAUGUGUUUCGAACCCGGCCGAGUGCCUGAACCCGAAGUACAAGAAGUGGAAAGAACAACACCCUUUGCUUACAUGGGCCUUCUUCAUCUGUUUACUGAUAUUCAGGAGGUCAAAGAACUUAUGCACCGAAGGACCCCUUGGAAAUAUAAGUUGUUGCUUCCUUAAGUCCCAGCCAAACUCAAUGUACCCGGCCAUUUCCUCUUAAGUAGGGGUGAUCUCAAAGUCCGAGAAACAAAAAACAUUGUGGACAGGGUCCCAAAAGGUUAUCAAAGCCUUGAUUAAAUCUUCCCGCGGUUUGAUUUCCAAAAUAUAUACAAGGACACCCAACUAUUUUUUCACCCAUUUCUAAUCAUCCUCAUGUAGAUCAUUCCACCACAUACGCAAGUGUAACUGAGCUUGUUUCCUGACCAUUUUUGACGAGUCUUGGGUGGUGUUCAUUCGUGACGGGUCCUAGACAGUGUUCAUUUGUACCUGUGGAGGGUCAAGGUUAGGGUUGACUCUGGUAGAUCUUUUUUGUAAAACAGGUUUUCCAAUUUCUACAAGAAAAAUCAAUGGGCCAUGAUUCCUUCCCCUAUAUGCUAAAUUUAGCAAAAAUGACCGUUUUGCAAACGUGGUCCCUUCCCAAUUCCAAAUGAAUUUUGAGGUUGGGGAGGACUAUUUUAUGACACUUGACAAACUUGUCCGUUCUUUUACAAAAAUAGCCCUUCGACAACUGAAAAUACUCUAAGGCUAUCUCAGCAAGAACGGUUUUUAAGACAUUACCGAAGUUGGGUCGGCUUAUUUUGACCAAAACUCCAAAGUACAUUUACUUGACCGCUAACUCUCUUUUUUCUUCUUUUUUCAAAAAUAAACCCGAAUCUUAUGUAGGUUGUCUAUGUAUCCCACAUCCGGUGAGAACCAGACCUGCGUAGUUCGGUCAAUUUUGACACAUUUGAAAAGGACAGUAUUGACUCAUUUUGAAAUGACUCUCUUUCUUUUCCCCCUUCUUUUUUUUGAAAAAUUUUGUCAUAGUUUCGGGACAUUUCCAAAUACCAAAGAUUUUUCAUAACCGGGUUUUAUUUCCUUCCCCACAUCACUCUUGGUUUUUCUUUUGCUUUAUUUUCCUAGUGGGUCAGCAUCCAAGCCGAAUCAAAUAAAUGUUCACAUAACACAUAAGAUGCAUUAGGAUGGUCUGUUAUUUUGGGGCACACCUGUCCUAGACGGACCCAACCCCUAUGUUGAGUCCCUUAAGUCAAAUGCACGUGAUGCAAACAAGCGUUCCUACUAGGAAUCCGACAUUAGGCUGUGUUUUUCUAGGUUUAAAUCCUGGGGUUGUGCUCUAGACUUGGGGUUACCUGAGCUGAAAACUGGGGCCGAAGAGGGGGCGACGUACAAGGAGCACUAAAGUCUACCCGGCCUUGUCACUGGUCCAGCCUCGUUCUAUUUGGUAUAAUUUCUAUGGGAAAAACGGGACAUGCAAACAUGUGCCCCAUUUUCAGAAGACUUAGAGGGGUGGCGUAAGAAGACAGUUAUAUACAAUUCAAAAAAUAUUAAAGCGGUAAACAGAUAGCAUUUAGCACAAAAGGUUCACAGAAUACAGUAAUAUCAACAAUAAAUAAAGCCAAGCAAAAUCAUAUUAUCAAGCUCAACUUCUAAACUCUGAACCAGAGAUUUUAAGUUCUUAUCCUCAGUAGAGUCGCCAGAGCUGUCACAGCUCCAUUUUAAUACCCCGAAAGGAGUAUAAGCGAGUUUUUCAAAUUAAAGUGAUGAUCGAAACAGGAUUAUUUUAUUUAAAAUUCAGAGUUGCCACUUGGGAUAAUUUAUGGUGUCCCAAGUCACCGGUUUAAAAUCUUGAAUCGACGAAGUUUGACUCUGUUUACGGUCCGCGAACACAGAAAUCCAGGUAAGGUAUUCUGUUAACCCGGGAGAAGGUGUUAGGCAUUCUCGGGUUCCGUGAUUUUAGCACGGUCGCUUUGAUCAUACUUGGCUAGUUAAAUUGUCUAAUUACUUAUUUUAUAACCUAUGUGCAUUUGCCUAUUUUAAUUAAGAAAUUAUCUUGUAACAGGUCACGCGUAUGUGUACCCAUUUAUUUGGCGCGUCAAAAAUCGUGUCACGCGAACGUGUCCACAAUUAGUAACACUUUAUAUUUAUUUUUUAAGAAAGUUUGACCGAAGUUGCGCGAACGCAUACUCCGAUUUUAUUGUUAGAAUUGUAAUCAUGUCACGCGAACGUGUACACCACCACGAUAAUGGAUUAAAAUGUAUGGCUCAAGUUUUAUACCACAGGGUCCUUGCAUAUGUCUAUGUCGCAUUUAAACUUCAAAUAAUCAGGUUCUUACCAUCCCAUGGCCCAAAAUAUUAGCUAAUAGUCCGUUUUAUAAUCUAGCACAUUAUUAAUUAAACCCAGGUCCAAACUAACUCUUCAAAUCAGUCCAUCCUAAAAGACCGAAUCUUUGAGAUAAUCACAGCUCCAUUCUUAAUCAUCUUCAUUUUUUACAACUAAUACUUCAUGAAACUUUAGAGCUUUUCUCCAAAUUAUAUUAAACUAAUAAUGAAUAAUGAAAAAUUCAAUCAUUAACUAAUCAUGGAACUAACUUUCCUAUAAAACUAAACCAUUAAAUAUAACUAAAUUAUUUUAAGAAAACUACCCAAGAGCAGAAAAAAUAUUGUUGCUUAUGGAUUAAAAGGGAGCAAACAUGUUCUUGCUAAACUUUGAACAAACAAAAGAUGACAAACUAAUGGACAAAAAUAAAGAAAACCUGCUCGAACGGAAAAGAAGCAGUAGCGCUGGAACCUUGCCAGCAACUCGAACGAAACCGACCUCACUCAAACUCCAUCUUGGAAAAGCGAAAAUCUGAAACAAGGAAGAUGAAACAGAACUUUUUAUGUGCUCUGUUUAUAGUUGUCUUGUGAGUUAAUUUUGGAUGUUAGAAUAGUGACAAACUGAUUUUUGACGGAGCUUAGGACGGAAAGAUGAUGAGAGAUUUUGCUUUCUCUGUUUUCAACAUCUCUUUCCCCGGUGCCUUCUAUUUCAUCUUCUCACUCCAUGUGUGUGCGCGUGUGUGUAUUGAUGCUGGUUUGAUAUAGUAGAGGCAAAGAUGGGGUCGUUUUGUGUGAGGUAAGAGGUUUUCCUAAAGGUCCAUGGCUGUUGUAGCUGUGAUUGAUGAAGAAGAAGAAGCAGUGGCGAUGGGUGGUCGUUGCGGUGGUGUUGCGUGUGGAACUGGUGAACUUUGGUUGUUGCUGAAGGUUUAGGGAUGAAGAAACUGGGGUUCAAGCCAUGGGGAUGUGAAGGAGAGGAGGAGGGUCGUAUGGGGUGGGGUUCGAAAUUGUUCUCUGCUGCUUCUUUAGAUUCUCAUUUUGUAUAUGUUCGUCCAAAUCUAGAAGAAGAAAGGCGGAUAGCUAUAGGGGUCUAGGUAUUUUUUAGGCUAAUUUUGGUUAUACAGAG